AACAGCAUUUCCCAUUUGCGGGAACCCGUAGAUCCGAACUUGUGCUGCCCUUUUUACACGUUACAAGGCCGGAUAUAUGGGAUCCUGCCGAUGGGUGGAAAAAGCAUCGA
rnacentral:pre_miRNA from 1 species